UAGAGAACCAGCUCUGAGCUCUGCUGAAGCCCAGCUUGCAACCUGGGUGUCACAGCGUGGAGCUGGACUCAUUCAAAAAUCGAGUGAUGUCCCCUCUAAUAAAAGAACCUGCUCUGCAAGGUUUCCCCAAAGGCAUCCCAGAAAAGCCCAUGGCCUAAGUCCAUCCUGAUCCGUGGCUUUGCAUCCUGUGAUCCUGACUUGAAGCCAGGCAGCUCUGUCUGAUCACAGCAGAGUGGAGCUCACUGUGGCACAGGAAAUCAGGCUGUUCAUCAGCCAGGUGUUUUCCAGAGAACCACAAUUCCUCCGUGCACCUGAGUGACAGAUGCCAGCUGAAGUGACUGUUUCCUCUGGAGGAAAUGGUUUGCUUUCUGUAAAGGCCUGGGCACGUUCUGCCCUGCUCUGAGUGCCAGCACAUGCUGAUGGUUGAAGCAGUGGGCAACACAAAGCCUUUCUGGGCAGAAGUUCUUCCCCAGCUCCAUGUACCCCACGGGCUGUCCCAGGGGGUGGCACAGCUCAGCAGCUCCAGGUGCACCUUCAGGCUCAACCAAGAGGAAAAACAUCACAUCUUGCAAAGGGAAUUCAGCUCUGGGAGCUUUGUGGGUUGCAUCUGCACCCUGCUGGAGCUGGUGGCCACGAGGUCAAACACGUCUGCGUGUGCUGGUGUGGAGGGGAAGGACAACGCCGUGCUAUCCAGCAGGGAUAAUCACUCGGGUCAUACGGACCAUCCCCGGGAAGAAAGAUGAACUUGCAUUUUUCUCCAGUGAUGAUGGUGAUGUCAUGAUAUGGUAAACAAAGUAUUUCAUCUUUUCUCCUUUUCUUCACUCAGUUCCAGGAGCUAUGCAGGGUUUUCUGCCAGAAAGCUGACUUUUCUCCUGGCUGAGGCUCGAGGGCCCAUCAGUGCUGAAACAUCACUGGAAUGUUCUGUCCUGCAGACACAGGGGAACAAAAACCUCUCUGGAGGAGGAAACACGAGCCUUAGAGCUACAGGCUUUGUUUCUGUACCUGUCACAGUUAUUUAUUAUUUCAGGCAACUUCUGAAUUUAUAUAGUGCUCCUGAAAAGUGGUGCUGAGCCCUGAAUAAGUAGAUGAAUGGACUCUCAGCACUUCAGUGUUCAUUUUGGCCAGAAAAUGGAAAGCACUGUGAUGGAACAGAAGGUACAGCAUCUGAAGUUACUGGGUCAUGUAGCAACAGCCAGUGAUGCUUUUAUUUCCCACUGGUACAGCCUUGAAGGCAGCUGGUUUGGGGGCUGAAUAAAAGUGCAGUUUG